rnacentral:lncRNA from 1 species
CCCAGGGUGGAGGUCCUGCACCCCGAAUAUUUGCGUCGCCACAGAUGCGUGGAGAAAGGAGGCCUGUUGGAGGCCUAUGGAAGAAAUUGUGAGAUGAUCCAGGAGAUGUUUCCAGAAAGAAAAUGUGGAGAAGUUGAAGGGCUGUUUGGCGCAGUUUUGUUUAAACAGAGAGGAAAUAGGCUCAGAGCUAUGGAUGUGGGGAAUUGCUGUGACAGACGCUUCGGGAGUUCUAGAUCUCAAACGGCUCCAUCUCCAACUCAUGUGGUCAAUGUAACCCUAAACCUUAUAAUGUCUAAAUUAUUAUGCUGAAAGCGAAAUCGAGUCCUUUCUGGCAGCGGGUGCUGCUUCCCAGUGAGCGCGAAGCCUUGCGAGCGAGCUCAGAGAGAAGCAGGCUGCUGCUUGCGACCACACAGCCAGCUAACAGCGACACUGGAUGCAGACUCGGCGCUCCUCUUGCCACAUUGUCGUUUCUACCACCCAACCUCCAAACCAGGACGCUGAAAAGUCGAAGUCAUUAUGCUUUGUUCCUGGGAUCUGCAGGGACCACAGAGCGCCCAGAGAGAACCGGCUGUAAACACAAAUGACAUGACAAAUGACAGCCCGUUCAUGGUUAUCUCGACCAAGCCUCCUUGGAACUACGUCUGUUUCCAGAUUCAACCUCUUCUCAAGGUGAUGUGGAAAUAGUGACGUUCCCACAGACAAUUGGUGAUGAGCUGGACUGCCAUCCAGGUUUCCUCAUUCCC